rnacentral:misc_RNA from 1 species
UGGAAGUGGAAGAAAUGGGGAGAGAGGUAUCUGAGAGCUGUGUGGAGAGUUUACUGACUGAGAUCGUCUCUUCUUACUGCAAUGGAUUCUACGCCGACAAACCUGAGCUCGCCGCCCGCCGGAUCGAAGCCAUCGGUUUUCAGGUCGGCCACCAACUUUCCGAGAGGUAUACCAUGGAUAGGCCCCGGUUCACUGAUCAUCUGGAGGCUAUCAAAUUCAUAUGCAAGGACUUCUGGUCUGAGGUCUUCAAG